CCUACGGGAGGCAGCAGUGAGGAAUAUUGGUCAAUGGACGCAAGUCUGAACCAGCCAUGCCGCGUGCAGGAAGACGGCUCUAUGAGUUGUAAACUGCUUUUGUACGAGGGUAAACGCAGAUACGCGUAUCUGUCUGAAAGUAUCGUACGAAUAAGGAUCGGCUAACUCCGUGCCAGCAGCCGCGGUAAUACGGAGGAGUCAAGCGUUAUCCGGAUUUAUUGGGUUUAAAGGGUGCGUAGGCGGUCGGAUAAGUUAGAGGUGAAAUCCCGAGGCUCAACUUCGGAAUUGCCUCUGAUACUGUUCGUCUAGAGAGUAGUUGCGGUAGGCGGAAUGUAUGGUGUAGCGGUGAAAUGCUUAGAGAUCAUACAGAACACCGAUUGCGAAGGCAGCUUACCAAGCUACUUCUGACGUUGAGGCACGAAAGCGUGGGGAGCAAACAGGAUUAGAUACCCCAGUAGUC
rnacentral:rRNA from 1 species